rnacentral:rRNA from 1 species
UACGUAGGGUCCGAGCGUUGUCCGGAAUUACUGGGCGUAAAGAGUGUGUAGGCGGUGUUCCCAGUCUGUUGUGAAAUCUCCCGGCUUAACUGGGAGGGUGCAGCGGAAACUAGAAUGCUAGAGGGUGGGAGAGGUAAGCGGAAUUCCUGGUGUAGCGGUGAAAUGCGUAGAUAUCAGGAGGAACACCUGUGGUGUAGACAGCUUACUGGACCACUUCUGACGCUGAGACACGAAAGCGUGGGUAGCAAACAGG